rnacentral:lncRNA from 1 species
GUGUCACCAGAGAGGAAAAGAAUAUCCUUGCUGUGCCAAGAAAGAAAAGACCAUGGAUCUACUAGUUGCAGAUUUCAGCAGUAAUGCCAAGGGGGCAAGAAGUGACCAGCAGAACAAUUAGGCCAUGGCAACAGAAGCCAACUACAACCCAUGUUCCAAUCUAUGACCUCCCUCUCCUGCUGGUACAAGGAUAUGAUCUGGAGUCUGGGAAGUUCAAGAGCAUGGCACCAACAUCUGGCAAGGGCUUUCAUUCUGCAUCAUCUCAUGGAGGAAAAUAAAAAGGAGGCUGGAUGCUCCUGUGAAGUACGUCUUUUAUCUACUUGCUAUCUUUGCAAUUCCUUCAUGCUACAAUGAGAGAUAGAGUUUAAACCUGAAAACAUUCUUGGAAAAGGAAUCUUCAUUAAUUCAAAUAUACCACAAGUGUCUUCCAGAGUCCUCACGAGUAUCAGAGAAGGCAUAAUCUGUACACGUGGCUUCAUUUAAAAUGAAAAUAUCAAGCAGUGUCAUUUUCACAAGUAUCCCCACACUGUCUGAGGCUGAAAAGAAGAGUGUAGCUAUGCACACUGCAGUGAGAAGAAAAUUUCAGCUCAAUUGGAGGAUGUAAAGAUUGAAAUACCACUGCUCCUAGUUCUGAUGCAAAAUUGAAAAGAGUGCACUGGGUCUUCAAAUGGCAUAUUGACAAGGAGAAAGAGGAAAGGAUGCCCCAGGACAGCCUGGGGGUCAAGGCUGGGCUCAGGCAUGCCUGGACAAGCCAUGCAAGUUGUCUCCGGACUUGAACCACGUAUCAGAGGAGCUAUUUGAGGAGCCACAUCAGCAUACCUGCUUCUGUGGGCCCCCAGGCUGUGGUGCUCAGCCCUUGCACUAUGAAACAUUUUUUUUUUCCAGAAGCCAAAGCUUUGAGCAUCUCCUCCCAUGUAGAGAGUGUAUAUGUUUACGUCCAUGUCUUUCGCCAUGUGAACGCAUGCAACCACCACCUCAAAUAUCAUAAAUCCUCUCUCUCCCCCUUUCUGUCUGCCUGUUUAUCUACAAUCUGUCUAUUUAAAUUCUUUUUAAACAAGAAGGGAAUAUCUUUAUGCCUGUUUGUAGGGAUAUUCUACAUCCAUCUGUUAUUUACAUCAUUCGUUUUCCUGAGGUGUCUCCAACAAAUCCUGGCUGGAUGCACUGUAUGUGUUAUUAAUAAAACAGCUGUAAAAAUAUUAA